rnacentral:rRNA from 1 species
CAGUCGACGGAGCACCCCUGACGGAGUUUUCGGACAACUGAAGGGACUGCUUAGUGGCGGACGGGUGAGUAACGCGUGAGCAACCUACCUUGGAGUGGGGAAUAACAGCUGGAAACAGCUGCUAAUACCGCAUGAUAUGUCUGUAUCACAUGGUACUGGACAUCAAAGAUCUAUCGCUCUGAGAUGGGCUCGCGUCUGAUUAGCUAGUUGGUGAGGUAACGGCCCACCAAGGCGACGAUCAGUAGCCGGACUGAGAGGUUGGCCGGCCACAUUGGGACUGAGACACGGCCCAGACUCCUACGGGAGGCAGCAGUGGGGAAUAUUGGGCAAUGGGCGCAAGCCUGACCCAGCAACGCCGCGUGAAGGAAGAAGGCUCUCGGGUUGUAAACUUCUUUUAUCAGGGACGAAGCAAGUGACGGUACCUGAUGAAUAAGCCACGGCUAACUACGUGCCAGCAGCCGCGGUAAUACGUAGGUGGCAAGCGUUAUCCGGAUUUACUGGGUGUAAAGGGCGUGUAGGCGGGAAAGCAAGUCAGAUGUGAAAACCAUGGGCUCAACCUGUGGCCUGCAUUUGAAACUGUUUUUCUUGAGUACUGGAGAGGCAGACGGAAUUCCUAGUGUAGCGGUGAAAUGCGUAGAUAUUAGGAGGAACACCAGUGGCGAAGGCGGUCUGCUGGACAGCAACUGACGCUGAGGCGCGAAAGCGUGGGGAGCAAACAG